rnacentral:lncRNA from 1 species
UGAAGCUCCUGGCCCCAGAUGGUUUACAAAGUCCACACAUGCACCAUCUGGUCACGGCGUGGUCCUUGCCCCCAUGCCAGGAAAAUCCCCAAAGUCCCCAACACAUGUUGAAAGAAAGGAAUCAUAGGACACCUGAAAUGACAAUGGAAGUAGGAAAUCAGUGACAUUUGCUAAGUCCCAGAAUAGACAAAACACAGAACUCAUGGCCAGGAAGUGCCUCCUCUUGGGGAGGUUUGGGCCCAUCAGGGAAGGGGAGUUAGGGGAAGCAUCCUCCCAUGGCAUCCCAGACACCUGCGGAGAAGCCAGUGGAGGGUACCAGCUUCCUGCUUGGGACCCAGAGAGCAGGUGUCCACACUGGUCCCUCACGGGGAGGACGGCACUGAACAGAGAGCUUAGGACCCAACAGCUGCUGGGGAAGGCUGUAGUUCCACCGCUGUCUCCUCUCUCCCCUGCAGCCACUGGCUUGUUCAAGUUCCAACUUAAAAGCUCCAGGAUUUCCCCACAAGGCCUUUCCAUCUUCUACUGCGCCGAAGCCAUCUUUGGCAAAAAUACCGUCCCUGUCGCUGGAAGUAUCCUCCCUCCUGAUCCUAAAAAUGCCAAUAUUUCCAUAACUCUGUCUCACACGAUGCUCAAGACAAUCGUUA